GCUUGCAUGAUGAUGGGUGAACAGUAUUCUCCCUGUUGGCUGCUGUGGUGGUGGACUUGAACUGCUGGUCUGCUCCAGACAUGGGUUCUUGCUUCUUGGUUGCCAUAGAAACAGAGUUGUGGUGGUUGGCCCUGAAGGAGGAACCUUGGUGCUGAUCUGCCCCCAAAGUGUGGCCCUGCUGUUGGUUUUGUUAUAGGAACAGGAUCUCUCUGCUUGUAGGUCCCAAGCAUAUAUAGUCUCACUGUUGACCAGCCCUGGGGCAGGGCUUUAGUACUGGUCAGCAAUGGGGUCAAAGUCUUGCUGGUGGCUUGUUCUGGGGGUAAGGUCCCUGGGAUAGGGCACUGAUUGCUGUGCUACACAGACUACUCAUUUGCCUCAGGGUUUGCAGGAAGGUGGAGUCUUUGCUCGUGUAUUGUCCCAAGCUUGAAGCCUUGCUAAAGGCCUCCAGCUAGGAGGUUGGUGACUGUUGCUGCUGCUCUUGGAGUUCUCUACUCUCCCACCCCAGUGAAAAGGACCUUUCCUGUGGGGCUGAAGGAAGAUCAGGCUGCUAAUAUACUUCAUGGGAGAGUUCAAUGAAGAAAGUCAUAAAGAAGGAACUCUAAAUAUGGCAAUGGAGACAUGACUAGAAGAAUACUAGAAUGUAUCGGCAUACACUGUCAUUCUGUCAUCUGCAUAAAUGGGAGCAACAAAUUCCUUGACACUUGAAAUGUAACCCAAGGAACAAAGCAACACUUUCCAGGACAAAAGGCUAAUCUAUACAGAUUAAUAAACAGCAAUGGUUCCAUGCCAUGCUGACAGUUUUAUUUUAACAAGACAUAACUGAACUGAUAAAUUAUGUUUUUCCAGAAGAAGAAUUUCCAAACAUUCAACAGAGGUUUAUGUACUCGCAUGUUCUCUGGGUCAUAGAAUAUUAUAGAUUUAGAGCUGGAAGUGACCUCAAAAGCCAAGUUCAAUUUUUAUAGAUGAAAAAACUAAUACCCUGAGUUACUAACCCAAAGAGACAGUAGUUAGAAGAAUCAGGAUUUGAACUCAAGUCCAAUGAGUCCAGAUCUAGGGACUACCUUUCUUUUUAUUUUUAGUACUUAAUAAACAUUUAGUACACAUACAGUAGACAGUUAAUAAAUUCUAAUUGACCUACUGACUGACCACAGUACAAAUUAAGCCAAUAUAAUCUAACAAACUUCUAAGAGCAUAAGAUGUCUAUAUUAGGUAUUAGGAGCACAGUGACAAAAUGAAAGCUAAUCCUCCAUCUCAAGAAGCUUAAAUUCUACUAACAUACAAAAUAUAGAUUUUAACCCAAGUUGUCUUGCUUUAUUAAUUGAUAACAAGCUGAGUUUCUCACAAAGUGGAUACAUAUUGUUAACAUGUAUUGCUUACAUUAUAUUACAAUUAUGUAGUUUUAAUUGAUCAGGCAAGAUUGAUUAAAAUCAGUUAUUAUAGCCAUAGACAUGGCUAGGAAGGCAGCAUGCUACAGUGAAUUGAGUGCAUGAUUUGUAUAUAACUGGGAGUCCAAAUUCCAAAUACUAUCUCCCUCCUUCAUUUACUAUUUUCUUUUGAACAAAUCAUUUAAUCAUGUUGAACAUCAGAAAAAUAUAAGUUAUAAGUGAGUUGGUAUCUAUAUUGAUAGAGAUAGUUUUCCUUACCUAUAAAAUCACAGGUUUGUGACCCAUUAGUUCAUGGAAAACUUAGUUGUUAAUAUGCAAAUUUCAGAUAGACCAACCACUAACAAAAAUUCUCUAUUAAGCAAAAAUAUCCCACCAAACAUUCUGGCAAAGAUAAAUGAAAAGGAAAAAAAAAUCCCCUAGAAUAUUAAUUUUAACAUCCUUGAUUCACAUGUUCUAGAAAAAAAGGUUUGUUAUGUUCAGAGAUUUCAAACAAACAGUGGGAAAAGUGCUUUUUUGCCAGUUCUCCAUCGCUGCUUGUAAAUGAGUCAAUAAA